UCCUCUGUAGCUCAGUUGGUUAGAGCGCUGCACCGGAACCGCAGGGCCGUAGGUUCAAUUCCUACCAGAGGAC
rnacentral:tRNA from 1 species